UUGGAGGGAGUAUACUUCUGCUGAUGUUUAUGCUUCCAUUCCAGGCUGCCCACAAGCUUUCAACCCAACUCAUUCCUUGCCUUCUGCUGUCUGUCUGCUCCAGUCAACCCAUGUCACAGCAGGUUACAUGCUGUUGCCUAGAAAUGCCUGCGUUGUAUGCUACUGUGUGAUGGAUGCUGCAUGCGCUGAUCUACAAAGGCUUAAGACCCUUAGUCUUGUAGCAGCCUGACAAACAGCCAACUCCCUACCACAUAGAAAGGAUGGUGAACGAAUGCUCAAGUCCAAGGUGAGCUUCAAGCAGAUCAUGAUGUUAGGAUGAAGGAAAAGU